GGCUUUUACGUCUGUGUUUGUUUAAACAAAACAACAUUACAAAAGAAUCAUGUUUAAAAACAAUACAACAAAGCUGUCGGGAAAGAAGAAAGACGUCCAGGUGCGAGAGUGUAACCUGAUACCAAUGUCAAUCUCACCUUUAUAUGACAUGGGUAUUAUUAAAGAGAUAAACUUAUAAAAGUAAGCGAAUCCAAAGGGUAUAUAUUGAGAGAUAUUGAGAGUUUGAGUUGUUUAUAUUUUAUGUUCUCAUUGGAGAUUAUAUUGCAAAUAUUCUUUUUACUUUGGCUGUUUAUGGCAACAAAGGAGAAGCUUGAAUACGAGGAUUUCGUUGGGUUGACAGAGUGGGAAAAGGUUGAACUUGUGGCAAGAGCAUUAAAGCGUAUGAAUUGGGUGCUCCAAAGAAAUUUACGCAGGAACAAAUUUUUGAUAGUAUUAAUUAAGAAGGAAUACCAACAAAGGCUACAAACUAAUGAUAUUAUUAAGAGCGAUCCUAACACUCUGUUCAAUGAAUAUUGGAAAGAUGACAUUCAAACAUGGCCACAUCUUGAUGAUGGAAUCAAUGGAAUGCUACAUUCUACGAGUAAAGGCAGUGGAUGUUGAAUAUAUUAGCAAAUAUAUUAGCAAAUACGAGAGGGCCUACUCAUAUUGGAUGAGUGGAUUUAUUGAUAUAAUUUAUGUUGCCAAAUGCCCCAUUGACAAGACCAUGACAUUUUUUGUAGAGCUCAGUAUGUCCAUCACAAAGGAUUUGUGAUGACUCACAUAUAAAAGUGUGGAUAUAUAUAUGUAUCCUUGAACAGCUGGAACAGUUGAGGCAUGUAAGCAUGUAAUCAUGUACUUGUAGUGUAUAAGAUCAACUAUGCUUACAACAAGCAAUAUAUUUCCCCUGCCUGUGUGCCUGUACCAGUGUUCCCCAAGGAUGGAACAAAGGUUAAUUAACAUGAAAAGAAGUAAAUCCAAGCAAGGUUAAAAAUUUAAUAUUUAGACCAAACUCCUGGCUGCGAUUAAACAUUGAGGAAAGAAUUUGACCCCAGAAAACCUGAGGACAAAAAUAUUAGCAACGAAAGAG